rnacentral:rRNA from 1 species
UACGUAGGGGGCAAGCGUUGUCCGGAAUCAUUGGGCGUAAAGCGCGUGUAGGCGGCUAGGUAAGUCUGCUCUGAAAGCCCGGGGCUCAACCCCGGGAGGCGGGUGGAUACUGUCUAGCUCGGGUCCGGGAGGAGUGUGGAAUUCCUGGUGUAGCGGUGAAAUGCGCAGAUAUCAGGAGGAACACCAAUGGCGAAGGCAGCACUCUGGGACGUGACUGACGCUGAGACGCGAAAGCGUGGGGAGCAAACAGG